rnacentral:rRNA from 1 species
UUAAAUUGAAGAGUUUGAUCAUGGCUCAGAUUGAACGCUGGCGGCAGGCCUAACACAUGCAAGUCGAACGGUAACAGGAAACAGCUUGCUGUUUCGCUGACGAGUGGCGGACGGGUGAGUAAUGUCUGGGAAACUGCCUGAUGGAGGGGGAUAACUACUGGAAACGGUAGCUAAU